rnacentral:rRNA from 1 species
AUGGAGGCACCACCGUCGAGGGAGGAAGGAACCUACUGCCAUGGCAAUGGUGGAGAUGCUGCUGCGGACGAUGACUCCUCCUGGUGUGAUUAUUCAGAUUCCCCAGGGCAUGGUUCCAGCUUACACAUGGAAUGGGCCCACUUGCAGGACCAGCUUCAUAAGAUGGGCUAUAGGGAAGGCAUAACCGAAGGGCGGAAGGACGCUGCCCAAGAGGGCUUCAAUCUUGGGCAUAGGCAAUCUGCGCCUCAAGGAUACAAGUGGGGUCUCGUUCGGGGAAUUACUAGUGCAUUGGCUAGCGUUCAAGACAGUCUAAAAGAAAAGUUGCUGCUCGAUGCCCAGCGUAGAGGGAAACUUGAGGAUUUGCGCAACUCUGUGCGAGAAAUUCCACCAGAGGCUGCACUGCGGAUGUUUCAUGAGAGUAUUAUUCAGGAUAAUGCUCCGCUAGUGGAAAGCAGCCUUCAAGCUAUUCCAAAUGAUCUUCUGCUGUUGUUGCGCGAAUGCCCAGAUGUUCAAGUUCCUGAAGAGUUGAAACGAGCUCCGUAG